GAUCAUGGCUCAGGAUGAACGCUAGCUACAGGCUUAACACAUGCAAGUCGAGGGGCAGCAUGGUCUUAGCUUGCUAAGGCCGAUGGCGACCGGCGCACGGGUGAGUAACGCGUAUCCAACCUGCCUUACACUCUUGGACAGCCUUCUGAAAGGGAGAUUAAUACAAGAUGUUAUCAUGAGUAGCUAUUUUCGCAUGAUUAAAGGUUUACCGGUGUAAGAUGGGGAUGUCG
rnacentral:rRNA from 1 species